rnacentral:tRNA from 1 species
GCCUCGGUAGCUCAGUUGGUAGAGCAGUUGACUCUUAAUCAAUUGGUCGUCGGUUCGAAUCCGACUCGGGGCACCA